AGUGAACGCUGGCGGUAGGCCUAACACAUGCAAGUCGAACGGCAGCACAGUAAGAGCUUGCUCUUACGGGUGGCGAGUGGCGGACGGGUGAGGAAUACAUCGGAAUCUACUUUUCGUGGGGGAUAACGUAGGGAAACUUACGCUAAUACCGCAUACGACCUACGGGUGAAAGCAGGGGAUCUUCGGACCUUGCGCGAUUGAAUGAGCCGAUGUCGGAUUAGCUAGUUGGCGGGGUAAAGGCCCACCAAGGCGACGAUCCGUAGCUGGUAUGAGAGGAUGAUCAGCCACACUGGAACUGAGACACGGUCCAGACUCCUACGGGAGGCAGCAGUGGGGAAUAUUGGACAAUGGGCGCAAGCCUGAUCCAGCCAUACCGCGUGGGUGAAGAAGGCCUUCGGGUUGUAAAGCCCUUUUGUUGGGAAAGAAAAGCAGCAGGUUAAUACCCCGCUGUUCUGACGGUACCCAAAGAAUAAGCACCGGCUAACUUCGUG
rnacentral:rRNA from 1 species